rnacentral:rRNA from 1 species
UACGAAGGGGGCUAGCGUUGUUCGGAAUCACUGGGCGUAAAGGGCGCGUAGGCGGCUUUGUAAGUCGGGGGUGAAAGCCUGUGGCUCAACCACAGAAUUGCCUUCGAUACUGCAUGGCUCGAGACCGGAAGAGGUUAGUGGAACUGCGAGUGUAGAGGUGAAAUUCGUAGAUAUUCGCAAGAACACCAGUGGCGAAGGCGGCUGACUGGUCCGGUUCUGACGCUGAGGCGCGAAAGCGUGGGGAGCAAACAGG